GACGGUGUGAUGGGAUAAUGAUAGAUAAGAUCAUUAUAUUGUGCCUGCUGCGUAAGCUUUUACAGUGUGGGAUCGGAGUAUGGUUUUUUUUGGUUGUCGCACCAAACAAACAAUGAUGGAUCUCUCUUUAAAUAUAGGGAACAGAAAAGGGAGAAGAGAGCAAUAUAAUAAUGCAACAAUUCACAUUGUCCAUGUAAAACUUGACAAACCGAGAUAGAAAUAUAUAUGUUGUGCUAGUAUGUAGCUGCCAUGACAGUACGUGUUCGUGAUCGUAGAAGUGAAUAGCAGAAAAAUGUCCUAUGGGACUCUGGAAGGCAUCGUGAAACAAUGUUCUAUUAUCAAACUUGGGGAUCCUGGUCUUUGGGCACAAUUUCGUGUUGAAACAUGCAUGUUUUCAUUGAUAA
rnacentral:lncRNA from 1 species